UAGUCCACGCCGUAAACGAUGAAUACUAGGUGUAGGGGUUGUCAUGACCUCUGUGCCGCCGCUAACGCAUUAAGUAUUCCGCCUGGGGAGUACGGUCGCAAGAUUAAAACUCAAAGGAAUUGACGGGGGCCCGCACAAGCAGCGGAGCAUGUGGUUUAAUUCGAAGCAACGCGAAGAACCUUACCUAGACUUGACAUCUCCUGCAUUACCCUUAAUCGGGGAAGUCGCUUCGGCGACAGGAAGAC
rnacentral:rRNA from 1 species